rfam:Schistosoma curassoni strain Dakar, Senegal genome assembly, scaffold: SCTD_scaffold0004345
AGCGUUGACGAAUCCCAAAUAGGACGAAACGCGCGUCCUGGAU